GCACGAACAUGUGGUGGUUGAAGAACUGCUGCAACUUCUCGUUGGUGAAGUUGAUGCAGAGCUGCUCAAAUGAGUUGAACUGCGCACACCGGCAGAAGGACACACGUACGGAGGGACAGAUGGAUGGGUGGCGUUGUUGGCGGUGGUGUCCUCACGUCGAAGAUCUCGAAGCCGGCGAUGUCCAGCACACCGAUGAAGUGCUGUCGCGGGGCCUUGGUCUCCAGCGACUGGUUGAUGCGCACGACCAUCCAGUUGAACAUCUUCUCGUACACGGACUUUGCCAGUGCACCGACAGAAUAGGACACCUGGCAGACGCAGCGGCGGCCGUCGGUGUGUACAGUGAAUGGGGGUUUCGCUUUCGUUGGAAGUCGCCACCAGGAGCCGCCCACCUGUUGCACGUUCUGACCCUUGGUCACGUACUCGUUGCCGACCUUGACCCUGGGAUGGCACAGGCCCUUGAUGAGGUCUGCCGAGUUGAGGCCCAUGAGGUACGACGCUUUGUCGGCGUCUGUCAACGGCAAAGAUCCCCCCCCACUACUGGAUGACACGUUUCGUGUUCACCGUUUUCCCCUGCGCCGGACUCGCCACUGUCCAUCACAGAGACGGACACAGGGAGAUGGACACAGACGGUUUUUGUGUACAUGCGUGCGCACACGUACCCGUGAGCAUGUACUGGUACGCGUUGUCGGAGAUGGAGAAGAUGUGUGGAGGGGCCUCCUGCCUCUUCUUGCCCCGCUCACUUGGCCAUCCGCUGUCUCCACGGUGUACUUGCCGCCGUCCACGCUCUGCACGAGGGCCUUGAUGAACUCGACCUUGGGGUGAUUGACGUAGACGUUCUUCUUCAUGUCGAAGGGCCGCGUCUGGGCCUCCAGCCGCUCAAUAUCCGACUUGCGCAGGAAGGGCGCCGCCUCCCCAAACUCCGACAGGCCGUUUGCCUGCCUGCCGCAUUUUGUAACGUCACCACUUGUUUACAAGCCAAGCAGAUGCCCUUCCCUCACCCUCCCAGUAACCCCUCCGGCCCCUCAGCAAGCUCACUGCAGCAACAGCUCACGCAAAGUGCGCCACAAUUUCUGGUUAGUACAUUGCAGUGUAAAAUGUUUGUUUCUAAUGACCUAAUUGCCUGUCUAGACCUUCACGAGAACUCUGGUCAUCCCCGCGGCAGCUUUUGGCUCACCAUCGAACAAAGACGGCCACUGCAUUUCGCGUUUUCAGAUGCGUUUCUGCGGCCGUCUGGAACGCUCUUCCAAUGUUAGGAAGCCCCUUGAGCUAUGCACUUUUAAGUCAUCUCGAUAAAAAAAAACUAAUUUCUAUAGAACUGCUUUUUGUGUUUAGUUUGUUGUCCUUCCCCCGCAGCUUCGAUUAUCACGGUUGGCUAUAUACAGUGCGAAAGAAGUUUAACAUACAUACUUAGGUAUUAUUUUUCAUAUUUAUGUGUUGUUUAAAAAUCUUAGUUGUGUUUAAAAGCGUUAUUUUAGUAGGUUUUGGGUAAUAACAAUCGAGGGAGAGAACUUGUAGCCCAUCUUCUUUGUCUUGUGUUUGCGAUUAAAAGUCAAUAUGCAAGCCACCCAGCCACUUGAUCACUACUUCAUCUAGAUCAAUCUGCUUUCUCAUUCUGCCUGUUAAUCUUUGUAUCUAUGUAUGUUGAACUUCUUUUGCACCAUACGUAGCCAACAGUUCUAAUCGGAGGUGCCGGGGAACAACAACACAUUAAGCACAUAAAGUAGUUCUAAAGAAAUUAGUUUUCGAUCUAUAUUUAAAAGUCAAUAGCUUCAGUGCUUGCCACAAAUGUGCAUUGUCGUUCUCUUCUAGCAUCAUGUGCACCUUUAGCAUGUGACCUGUUGUUCUCUUUUAGCCCCGCCCCCCCCCCCCAAUACGUUCCAUUCAUUGGCUACCACACUCAGAUAAGCUCCUCCCCCCCUUAACAAUGUAUUUACAACUUGUAUCUUGAAAUUUUAUGCCUCACUUGAUACAGUAAAUCUAUCUGUGAUGGUCCCACCUGAUGACGGAGACUUGUGUUGCCUCCGAAACGUCGUGAUUUAUUAUUUUAUUUUAUUUCUAUUAUUACUUCUAUUAAUUUUAUUUUUUUACCUACGUGACUUUACCGAAAAAAAUCUAAGAGUAUGAAUCGUUGCAGUCACGAAAGCUUCAAAUCUGGCUUCCUAAUAUCCGAAGGAAUAGCAUUCCAGACCGCUGCAGAAGCACAUCUGAAAGCGGGCGAUGCAGUGACCGCCUUUGUUCAGUGGCUUGCCAGAAGCCCCUUACGAGGAUGACCAGAGUUAAUUUGGUGGUUUAUGUUCUUUGACGAGAUCAGCAAGAUAUUGUGGUUCAUUUGCGGCAAGCACUUUGUGUGUAAUGAGUGCGAUCUUAUAAUAUAUUCGUUCGGCAACCGUUGCAGCCCGGCGGGCACUGGUCGGAUCUUGCAGUACCCGUCACGACACGUGCCAGAGAAUUUUGUACAUGCUGCAGCUUGCUAAUGUUU